rnacentral:rRNA from 1 species
GACGAACGCUGGCGGCGUGCUUAACACAUGCAAGUCGAACGGUGAAGGGACCAGCUUGCUGGUUCUGGAUGAGUGGCGAACGGGUGAGUAACACGUGAGUAACCUGCCCCCUUCUUCUGGAUAACCGCAUGAAAGUGUGGCUAAUACGGGAUAUUCUGGGUCUGUCGCAUGGCGGGCCCGGGAAAGAUAUUGCUUCGGUGGGGGAUGGGCUCGCGGCCUAUCAGCUUGUUGGUGGGGUGAUGGCCUACCAAGGCGGUGACGGGUAGCCGGCCUGAGAGGGGGGACGGUCACACUGGGACUGAGACACGGCCCAGACUCCUACGGGAGGCAGCAGUGGGGAAUAUUGCACAAUGGGCGCAAGCCUGAUGCAGCGACGCCGCGUGAGGGAUGGAGGCCUUCGGGUUGUAAACCUCUUUCGCCAGUGAAGCAGGCCUGCUCCGUGUGGGUGGGUUGACGGUAGCUGGAUAAGAAGCGCCGGCUAACUACGUG